rnacentral:rRNA from 1 species
GCGAUGUGCGUGCCAGCGGCCGCGGUAAGACGUACCGGGCGCACGUUGUGUGGAUUGACUGGGCUAAAAGGGGGCGUAGGCGGCGCGCCAAGUUGGGGGUGAAAUCUUUCGGCUCAACCGGAAAACAGCUUCCGAUACUGGCGGGCUUGAGGGAGGUAGGGGCGGACGGAACUUCCGAUGGAGCGGUGAAAUGCGUAGAUAUCGGAAGGAACGCCGGUGGCGAAAGCGGUCCGCUGGAUCUCUUCUGACGCUGAUGCGCGAAAGCCAGGGGAGCAAACGGGAUUAGAUACCCCGGUAGUC